GACGAACGCUGGCGGCGUGCCUAAUACAUGCAAGUCGAGCGGACGAAUCGAAAGCUUGCUUUUGAUUCGUUAGCGGCGGACGGGUGAGUAACACGUGGGCAACCUGCCCUGUAGACGGGGAUAACACCGAGAAAUCGGUGCUAAUACCGGAUAACACGAAAUGUCGCAUGACGUUUCGUUGAAAGACGGCGCAAGCUGCCGCUACAGGAUGGGCCCGCGGCGCAUUAGCUAGUUGGUGAGGUAACGGCUCACCAAGGCGACGAUACGUAGCCGACCUGAGAGGGUGAUCGGCCACACUGGGACUGAGACACGGCCCAGACUCCUACGGGAGGCAGCAGAAGGGAAUCUUCCGCAAUGGACGAAAGUCUGACGGAGCAACGCCGCGUGAGCGAAGAAGGCCUUCGGGUCGUAAAGCUCUGUUGUUAGGGAAGAACAAGUAACGCAGUAACUGGCGUUACCGUGACGGUACCUAACGAGAAAGCCACGGCUAACUACGUG
rnacentral:rRNA from 1 species